rnacentral:rRNA from 1 species
AGAGUUUGAUCCUGGCUCAGGAUGAACGCUGGCGGCGUGCCUAACACAUGCAAGUCGAACGAAGCGCCUUACCGGAUUCUUCGGAUGAAGGUCUGGUGACUGAGUGGCGGACGGGUGAGUAACGCGUGGGUAACCUGCCCUGUACAGGGGGAUAACAGCUAGGAAACGGCUGCUACUACCGCAUAAGCGCACGAGGAGACAUCUCCUAGUGCGAAAAACUCCGGUGGUCCAGGAUGGGCCCGCGUCUGAUUAGGUGGCUGGCCGGGUAACGGACUACCAAGGCAACGAUCGAUAGGCGGUCUGAGAGGAUGAACGGCCACAUUGGAACUGAAACACGGCCCAAACUCCUACGGGAGGUAGCUGUGGGGAAUAUUGCACAAUGGGGGAAACCCUGAUGCAGCAACGCCGCGUGAGUGAAGAAGUAUUUCGGAAUGUAAAGCUCUAUCAGCAGGGAAGAUAAUGACGGUACCUGACUAAGAAGCUCCGGCUAAAUACGUGCCAGCAGCCGCGGUAAUACGUAUGGAACAAGCGUUAUCCGGAUAUACUGGGUGUAAAGGGAGCGUAGGUGGCAGUGCAAGUCAGAUGUGAAAGUCAGGGGCUCAACCCCGGAGCUGCAUUUGAAACUGCUUGGCUAGAGUACAGGAGAGGCAGGCGGAAUUCCUAGUGUAGCGGUGAAAUGCGUAGAUAUUAGGAGGAACACCAGUGGCGAAGGCGGCCUGCUGGACUCUAACUGACACUGAGGCACGAAAGCGUGGGGAGCAAACAGAAAAAGAUACCCUGGUAGUCCUCGCCGCAAACGAUGAAUAUUAGGUGUCGGGUGGCAAAGCCAUUCGGUGCCGCAGCUAACGCAAUAAGCAGUCCACCUGGGGAGUACGUUCGCAAGAAUGAAACUCAAAGGAAUUGACGGGGACCCGCACAAGCGGUGGAGCAUGUGGUUUAAUUCGAAGCAACGAGAAGAACCUUACCUGAUCUUGACAUCCCGAUGACCGCUUCGUAAUGGAAGUUUUUCUUCGGAACAUCGGUGACAGGUGGUGCAUGGUUGUCGUCAGCUCGUGUCGUGAGAUGUUGGGUUAAGUCCCGCAACGAGCGCAACCCUUAUCUUCAGUAGCCAGCAUUUUGGAUGGGCACUCUGGAGAGACUGCCAGGGAUAACCUGGAGGAAGGUGGGGAAGACGUCAAAUCAUCAUGCCCCUUAUGAGCAGGGCUACACACGUGCUACAAUGGGGUAAACAAAGGGAAGCAAACCUGCGAGGGUAAGCAAAUCUCAAAAAUAACGUCUCAGUUCGGAUUGUAGUCUGCAACCCGACUACACGAAGCUGGAAUCGCUAGUAAUCGCGGAUCAGAAUGCCGUGGUGAAUACGUAACCGGGUCUUGUACUCACCGCCC